rnacentral:lncRNA from 1 species
UUUUUUAUGUACACAUUCAAAUUCAUUCAUCCAUUUCUUGUUUCCCUCUUCAGGACCGAUUCAAUUCUGCCCUAAUUCUCAAAUUCCUCCUUUGUCUACGUAAUUCUUCAAUUCCAUUCCUCCUUGUUUUUCAAUCACUGUUCAAUGCAAAACCCAUCUUAGAAACCCUCGAAACAAACCCUCAAAACCCCUAAAAAACAAGGGUCCAUUUUUGAUUUCUCAAUUAAGGCAAAGGGAAGUUCGCCCACAUCUACCUCGCCUGUGAAAUCAAUAGCAAGUGUAUAGUAGCGCUGAAGAUGACUUCCCAGGAGCGAAUAAAAAAGUAUGGAUUGCCCUAACAAUCGUCACCAUAAUGUUUUGAGACUGUAUGGAUGGUUCCACGAUGCGAGGCGGAUUUUCUUCAUUUUAGAGUUAUGGAGGUAUACUGUGUAAAGAGCUACGGAAAUCUUGAUACAUCUCUGAAAGACAAGCCACCACUAACACAUCGAGCCUCACACAAGUCAUAGCAUACUGUCAUGAGAAGGAUGUGAUUCGUUGGGAUAUCAAACCAGAGAAUUCGCUACUCGACCAUGAAGGCAGGCUAAAAAUUGCUGACUUUGGAUGGUUCGUGCAAUCGAAAAGCAAGAUACCACUAUGUUUGGAACUUUAAACUAUUUAGCACCAUAAAUAGUAGAGAAUAAGGCUCACGAUUAUGCAGUUGAUAAUUGAACUCAAGUGUUCUCUACUAUGAAUUUUUGUAUGGAGCCUCUCCGUUCGAGGUUGAAAGCCAGAAAGACAAGUUUAGAAAGAUUCUGAAGGUGAACCCAAACUUUCCAUCCACCUCGCUUGUUGUGAAGGACUAAGCUAAGAGGCUCUCUCUUCAGAAGAUCAUGGAACAUCUUUGGAUAGUUAAGAAUGCUGAUACCAUGGGAACCUGCUCGAAUUAAAGUCGUGCAUUUUAAAUUCUAGUUUAGGACUCUGGUGAUUCAAACUUGUUGAAUCUGAAAGUUUUUAUUCCAAAAACCUGACCACGAAAAUGUGAGUCUGUUCAUUGAUCUAGCAUCCUAUUUGUCAUAUAGUAUUAAGUUGACUUUAGAGAUUGUCCCGUAACGGAAACAAAAUAGUGCAUUCUGUUGUUGAUGGUAUUGGAGUGGAUAUUUGUAAUGCUAAUGGCGCCGACUGUAAGUUAGCUGCUGAAAUUUAUCGUCAAUCUAUUUUAUAAUUGUAUUCUCGUGCAUUUGAUACAAGAAAGGUACAAUGAAUUAUAUUUGCAAAUUGCACAAAUUCUAAUACGAC